rnacentral:rRNA from 1 species
AUUGAACGCUGGCGGCAGGCCUAACACAUGCAAGUCGAACGGUAACAGGAAGAAGCUUGCUUCUUUGCUGACGAGUGGCGGACGGGUGAGUAAUGUCUGGGAAACUGCCUGAUGGAGGGGGAUAACUACUGGAAACGGUAGCUAAUACCGCAUAACGUCGCAAGACCAAAGAGGGGGACCUUCGGGCCUCUUGCCAUCGGAUGUGCCCAGAUGGGAUUAGCUAGUAGGUGGGGUAACGGCUCACCUAGGCGACGAUCCCUAGCUGGUCUGAGAGGAUGACCAGCCACACUGGAACUGAGACACGGUCCAGACUCCUACGGGAGGCGGCAGUGGGGAAUAUUGCACAAUGGGCGCAAGCCUGAUGCAGCCAUGCCGCGUGUAUGAAGAAGGCCUUCGGGUUGUAAAGUACUUUCAGCGGGGAGGAAGGGAGUAAAGUUAAUACCUUGGCUAAUUGACGUUACCCGCAGAAGAAGCACCGGCUAACUCCGUG